ensembl:lncRNA
UUUUUUUUUUGUGUUUUAUUUGCUUGUUUUUAUAAUAAAUAAAAACAAAACAAGUAGAUUGAAUAGAAAAAGAAUAUGGAAUGCUAGUGUUAGAGGGUCCUUUUUUCUUUUUAAAUAAAACAAGUAGUUAGAAUAGAAAUAGAAUAGAAAGCACAAACAUUAAAGUUAAUUUUUUAAUAAAAAAAACAAGCAGAUAAAAAUAGAAUUAGCAUUAUAAUAGAGAGAGCUAGAGUUAGAGGGUCAAAUGAAGAUGAAAGAGAUGUGUUUUCAGCUGUUUCUUGAAGAUGAUUAAGGACUCAGCUGCUUGGAUUGAGUUGGAAGGUCAUUCCAUCAGGAGGGAACAGUUCAUGUAGAAGUCCAUCAAAGUUUUAUCAUAGGUAGGAUGCAAAAUGUUUCAAUAUAGGCAUUUCAUUUAAAUGUAAUUCAAACCUUUAACCCACUUGGGAAAAUCAACCCAUGGCAACAGUUUAAAAGUAGCCCAAUUCUGUGGACUUGGCAACCCUGCAUCCAAGAAGAGCUGCUGGAGUCAGAUUUGACUGAUCUCAGGUCAAGAAUAAGGAGAGAUGACUGACAGGACCAUGCUGGAGUAUUUGCUGCUUAACAGAUCCUGAGCUCACGGACAAAUAUCUGAUCUUGUAAGAUGUGCUCCCUUUACACAGAGUGCGUGUGAUUGCGAAAUCGAAAGUGAAAGUAAACAGCAAACGCUCAUUCAAAAGAGAUUUAAAUACUUGCACACCAAAUUAUAUACAAUAUUAGAAUGUUUAAAGGAGUGGAUACGAAAAUCGUGGGAGUGAUGUGAUUUAUAUUUCAGAGGACAUUUACACCUGAUCUUUUAACAAUCAAAUCGCCAUCAGAGCAAACGCGUGAAGUGACCGUAAACAGGCCCUGAAGUAUCUGUUUCUUUUGGGGCAGAGCCGUUGCGCUACUUUCUUUCUGACAGUGCAGAAGAGAUUUAAAAUACCAGUGUUGAAUCAUUUUUCUGACUGAAUUCAUCUGACUCAGCCCUGCUCUGUGGUGUUGUCCGGACAGCGUUCAGGUCUGAUCCACCUGCACAGCAGCACAUUGUCACACACUACUGUGUGGAAGGUAAGGAGAACGGAGACGAAGGAGAUAUCGUUCGGUAAUCUUCAAGAAUCUAGACUGAGGGUAACACGGCAGGAGACAACACAUUCAAUACCGGACCAGGAACAAAGGACAGACUA